CCUACGGGUGGCAGCAGUGGGGAAUAUUGCACAAUGGGGGAAACCCUGAUGCAGCGACGCCGCGUGAGUGAAGAAGUAAUUCGUUAUGUAAAGCUCUAUCAGCAGGGAAGAAAAUGACGGUACCUGAGUAAGAAGCACCGGCUAACUACGUGCCAGCAGCCGCGGUAAUACGUAGGGGGCAAGCGUUAUCCGGAUUUACUGGGUGGAAAGGGAGCGUAGACGGCAGUGCAAGGCUGGAGUUAAAGGCGGGGGCUCAACCCCCGGACUGCUCUGGAAACUGUACGGCUGGAGUGCAGGAGAGGUAAGUGGAAUUCCUAGUGUAGCGGUGAAAUGCGUAGAUAUUAGGAGGAACACCAGUGGCGAAGGCGGCUUACUGGACUGUAACUGACGUUGAGGCUCGAAAGCGUGGGGAGCAAACAGGAUUAGAUACCCGAGUAGUC
rnacentral:rRNA from 1 species